AGCGAACGCUGGCGGCAGGCUUAACACAUGCAAGUCGAGCGGGCGUAGCAAUACGUCAGCGGCAGACGGGUGAGUAACGCGUGGGAACGUACCUUUUGGUUCGGAACAACACAGGGAAACUUGUGCUAAUACCGGAUAAGCCCUUACGGGGAAAGAUUUAUCGCCGAAAGAUCGGCCCGCGUCUGAUUAGCUAGUUGGUGAGGUAAUGGCUCACCAAGGCGACGAUCAGUAGCUGGUCUGAGAGGAUGAUCAGCCACAUUGGGACUGAGACACGGCCCAAACUCCUACGGGAGGCAGCAGUGGGGAAUAUUGGACAAUGGGGGCAACCCUGAUCCAGCCAUGCCGCGUGAGUGAUGAAGGCCCUAGGGUUGUAAAGCUCUUUUGUGCGGGAAGAUAAUGACGGUACCGCAAGAAUAAGCCCCGGCUAACUUCGUG
rnacentral:rRNA from 2 species